AAUAGAUACCCGGGUAGUCCACGCCGUAAACGAUGGAUGCUAGCUGUUAUGCGUAUCGACCCGUGUAGUAGCGAAGCUAACGCGUUAAGCAUCCCGCCUGGGGAAUACGAACGCAAGUUUAAAACUCAAAGGAAUUGACGGGGACCCGCACAAGCGGUGGAGCGUGUUCUUUAAUUCGAGGCUAAGCGAAGAACCUUACCAGGGCUUGACAUCCUUGGAAUUUCUCCGAAAGGAGAGAGUACUUUAUUGGACCAAGUGACAGGUGCUGCAUGGCCGUCGUCAGCUCGUGUCGUGAGAUGUUUGGUUAAGUCCAUUAACGAGCGCAACCCUUAUGAAUAGUUGUAUUUUUCUAUUCAGACUGCCCCGGUAACGGGGAGGAAGGGGGGGAUGAUGUCAGGUCAGUAUUGCCCUUACGCCCUGGGCUAGAAACGCGCUACAAUGGCCGGUACAAUGCGCUGCCAACCCGCGAGGGGGAGCAAAUCGCAUCAAAGCCGGUCCCAGUUCGGAUAAGAGGCUGAAACUCGCCUCUUGAAGCCGGAAUCGCUAGUAAUCGU
rnacentral:rRNA from 1 species